rnacentral:rRNA from 1 species
UACAGAGGGUGCGAGCGUUAAUCGGAAUUAUUGGGCGUAAAGGGAGCGUAGGCGGAUGUGCAAGUGGUAGGUGAAAUACCCGGGCUUAACCUGGGGAGGUCCUAUCAGACUGCACGUCUAGAAUGUGGUAGAGGAAGGUGGAAUUCCUGGUGUAGCGGUGAAAUGCGUAGAUAUCAGGAAGAACAUCAAUGGCGAAGGCAGCCUUCUGGGCCAUUAUUGACGCUGAGGCUCGAAAGCGUGGGGAGCGAACAGG